rnacentral:rRNA from 1 species
UCGAGAAUCUUCCACAAUGGACGAAAGUCUGAUGGAGCGACGCCGCGUGAUUGAUGAAGUCCUUCGGGACGUAAAGAUCUUUUAUGGGGGAGGAAGUUUAUUGACGUUACCCCAUGAAUAAGAGGUUGCUAAACUCGUGCCAGCAGCAGCGGUAAUACGAGUGCCUCAAGCGUUAUCCGGAAUUAUUGGGUGUAAAGGGUGUGUAGGCGGUCGUAUUAGUCUCUUGUUAAAGCCCCGCGCUUAACGUGGGAAUCGCAAGGGAAACGGUACGGCUAGAGAAUGUGAGAGGUAUACAGAACUCAUAGUGUAGGGGUGAAAUCCGUUGAUAUUAUGGGGAAUACCAAAUGCGAAGGCAGUAUACUGGCACAUUUCUGACGCUCAAACACGAAAGCGUAGGUAG